AGGAUAAUAGUUAAAAUAAAACAAUUAAUUUGCACUUAAAAAAUAUUGAAUUUCAAUUUAUCUUA
rnacentral:tRNA from 1 species